GGCUCGGUGGUCUAGGGGUAUGAUUUUCUCUUUGGGUGCGAGGUCCCGGGUUCAAACUCCCGGCCGGGCCG